rnacentral:rRNA from 1 species
GACGAACGCUGGCGGCGUGCUUAACACAUGCAAGUCGAACGGAAAGGCCCCUUCGGGGGUACUCGAGUGGCGAACAGGUGAGUAACACGUGAGUAACCUGCCCUUGACUUCGGGAUAACUUCAGGAAACUGGGGCUAAUACCGGAUAGGAAUCCUUGCUGCAUGGUGGGGGUUGGAAAGCUUCGGCGGUUUUGGAUGGACUCGCGGCUUAUCAGCUAGUUGGUGGGGUAGUGGCGUACCAAGGCUAUGGUGGGUAGCCGGCCUGAGAGGGCGACCGGCCACACUGGAACUGAGGAAGGGGCAAGAGACGUACGGGAGGCAGGAGGAGGGAAGCGUCGGGGAUGGGCGAGAGCGUGACGGAGCGACGGCGCGUGAGUGAUGAAGGUCUUCGGAGCGUAAGACGCUGUUAUUAGGGAAGAAAAAAUGUGUAAGGAACUAUGCAGGUCUUGACGGUACAGAAUCAGAAAGCCACGGCUAGCUACGGG